rnacentral:rRNA from 1 species
UACGAAGGGGGCUAGCGUUGUUCGGAAUUACUGGGCGUAAAGCGCACGUAGGCGGACUAUUAAGUCAGGGGUGAAAUCCCGGGGCUCAACCCCGGAACUGCCUUUGAUACUGGUAGUCUCGAGUCCGGAAGAGGUGAGUGGAAUUCCGAGUGUAGAGGUGAAAUUCGUAGAUAUUCGGAGGAACACCAGUGGCGAAGGCGGCUCACUGGUCCGGUACUGACGCUGAGGUGCGAAAGCGUGAGGAGCGAACAGG